rnacentral:misc_RNA from 1 species
UCUCUCCUCCGCACUCCGCAGCCGCAUUCAUCUUUACAGAAAAGCUCCAAGGGAUCGAAGAGAGAGCCAUGGCGCAGUCACUAGAGCUAUUAUUGAUUCAAUUUCUGAUGCCUGACAAUGAUGCUAGAAGACAAGCUGAGGAUCAAAUAAAGCGUCUUGCAAAGGAUCCUCAGGUGGUUCCAUCACUGAUACAUCAUCUCCGGACUGCCAAAACGCCUAAUGUUAGGCAGCUUGCGGCGGUACUUCUCCGUAAGAAGAUCACUGGUCAUUGGGCUAAGCUAUCUCCUCAACACCGUCAGCUUGUGAAACAGUCCUUAAUUGAGAGCAUCACUAUG